CUUAUCUAAUUCUUUGGACAUUGUAAUUGACUCAAUAAAUGAGCUAAUCAAAUCUCACUAGAUAGGAACAAAAUUAUAGUAAAAAAGAAGAUAUAAAAAUAAAACGAACAGGAAAACAUAAGAAGAAACUAAGGGUCGGUCGGAGUACUAAAGAUGGUUAACUACACUUCCCAGUUUCGCCUUAGAUUUAGCCACAUAGGCCAACAUAUUGCAUUUCAUUCAUACAUAUAAACUGCAAAACCGGCUCCAUCGUACAAAAACGAACUUAUCUUUGUCUAUCGCCAUCUCCGACUGAAUAACAACGGGUUGGUCUAGGGAAGUCAGCUGACGCCUUUUAACUGUAAAAUUCUUGGUUAUAUUACGAUUGAAAGACUGAAUGACGACGGGGUUGGCCGGUGUGGUGUCCGAGUGAACGCGUGAUGUCAACUUCUUGGAGAAAGGGUUCGACGAGUCAGCUAAGUUCGUCGGUGUCGGCCGAUGGAAAACCGACAAAGAAUGGGGGGUAGAUCGUUGUUAGCAACUCAUGGAAAUAUUUGGGGGAAAAUCGGCUGAAGGUCUGUCUACAUUUGGGAGAGGGAAAUGGCG
rnacentral:lncRNA from 1 species